rnacentral:rRNA from 1 species
AUUGAACGCUAGCGGCAGGCCUAACACAUGCAAGUCGAGCGAGCGGCGGACGGGUGAGUAAUGUAUGGGGACUGCACGAUAGAGGGGGAUAACUACUGGAAAAGGUAGCUAAUACCGCAUACUAUCGGAUAACCAAUAUGGGAUUAGCUAGUUGGUGAGGUAAUGGCUCACCAAGGCGACGAUCCCUAGCUGGUCUGAGAGGAUGAUCAGCCACUCUGAGACGGAGACACGGCCCAGACUCCUACGGAGUCAGCAGUGGGGAAUAUUGCACAAUGGGCUCAAGCAUGAUGCGUCCAUGACGCGUGUAUGAAGAAGGCCUUAGGGUUGUAAAGUACGUUCAGCGGGGAGGCGUUACCCGCAGAAGAAGCACCGGCUAACUCCUUGCCAGCCGCCGCGGUAAUAC